GCAUAAGUGAAACUAUCAUACAAAUCUUAUACAGUAAUUGAAUUUUCACAUUCCAAUAGGAUAGAUAUAGCUCUAUAACCACUAUUUGAGGUUUACUAUUUAUGUAUAUGUAUGUUACUGUUCUUUUAACAAUACAUCAAAUGGACAUUGCUUAUAAGUUAUUUUCUUGAAUGUUGAUGUAUUAUUUUUAUUUGUUUGAAUUUGUGAAUGUUUGAUUUUGUUAGGAUGUGUAAUAUUCGAAUCUUAAGAUGAUUUUGAACUAUUUUUUUUAGGAUACAUCACCUUGGUAGCCAGUGUUGUAUGUACAAGUGAUAGAACGAUUUAAUUACCAUUAAACCUACCAAAUAGUUGUCUUUGUGUGAGGUCUUUUUAAAAAUUUAAUAUGAUGCAAAGCACUCUGAUAAAGUAGUACCAGUGUUCUUUAAAUAUACUUGUAGUGAUUGUGAAUAGAUAACAAAAAAACCUUAUAACGUUAAAUUAUUUUAUUUGAAUUAUAGGAGUUGACGAACAAUGUUUGCCCCACAUCUCACUUUAUUCAUGUGUAACUGUUUUUGUCUAAUCCAACGUUAAAAACACAAAUAUCAUAAUCUAAGGCUAAAUUAAUCUCUCAAUGUUACAUAUACACCCUAAUUAUGAUAUGUGGUGAAAUACAAAACUACUGAAGAGACAGCAAUAUGGCGAUUUGACAUUAAAUGAUUUUGUGUAAGUAUUGCCAUGAUCGUGUAUACUAGAAAUAUUAAUUAGGCAAUAUGGCAUAAUUAAGACUCGAGUGAAAUAUUGAAAUUUUAUUAAAAUGGUGCAUGCAAAUGUAAUAUUCUAGCUCAUUUUCCAUACGAUAUUGAUUCAUACAAUGCUGCAACAAAAAUUGGUGUUUUAAACCUUAUAUUAAUCAAUAUUUUCUGGAAUUCAACGUUACAAAAGCAUUGUCUACUUAAGAAAAGUUUUAAAGCACAGUUAAUAUCACAUAUUUUUAUAAUACAUGUUGACUGAAUUAUACAU
rnacentral:lncRNA from 1 species